ACAUGAUCCGAGCUAUUAUAGACCAAACCUCCUGCCAAACUCUAUCACAUGCCGACAACGGCAACUGUUCCUUCAUUGCCACUAGCCUUCUUUCACGAUAAUGCACAGGCUCCGCCGUCACUAUCACGCUGCACCGGCUCCAAUGCUAGCUUCACUUUGCAUUGUUGCAUUAGCACCACCGUCACUUUUACUCUACAAUGUCGUAACAGCUCCGCCGCAAACCUUACUCUGUGCCGUCGCGUCAUCUGUAUCGAUUGCCUCACUCUAUGUCAGCUACACUAGAAUCCUCGAUUUCCACAUUACAAAGUUCACAAGGCCCAUGGUUUAUAUGUCUAUUUUCCAAGAAUGAGGAGCUUACAACUAAAGACAUAAAGAUUACUAGUUCCUGAAGAAGAACCAAACUGGUGUGGAUAAAAGGCUGGUUCCUUUGGCUCUGGCAAUGUUUUCUCACCAUUCAACAUUAGAACUGCAGCUGACAUAGAUGGCCUAUCAUCAGCUCUCUCUUGAAC